rnacentral:rRNA from 1 species
UACAGAGGGGGCAAGCGUUAUUCGGAAUUAUUGGGCGUAAAGGGCGCGUAGGCGGCUUGGCAAGUGGAUGGUGAAAUCCCUCGGCUUAACCGAGGAACUGCCGUCCAAACUGCUUAGCUUGAGACCGGGAGAGGUGAGUGGAAUUCCCAGUGUAGCGGUGAAAUGCGUAGAUAUUGGGAGGAACACCAGUGGCGAAGGCGGCUCACUGGACCGGUACUGACGCUGAGGCACGAAAGCGUGGGGAGCAAACGGG